GGGUUGUGAGGUUAAGCGACUAAGCGUACACGGUGGAUGCCCUGGCAGUCAGAGGCGAUGAAGGACGUGCUAAUCUGCGAAAAGCGUCGGUAAGGUGAUAUGAACCGUUACAGCCGGCGAUGUCCGAAUGGGGAAACCCAGUGCAAUUCGUUGCACUAUCGUUAACUGAAUACAUAGGUUAACGAGGCGAACCGGGGGAACUGAAACAUCUAAGUACCCCGAGGAAAAGAAAUCAACCGAGAUUCCCCCAGUAGCGGCGAGCGAACGGGGAGCAGCCCAGAGUCUGAAUCAGCUUGUGUGUUAGUGGAACGGUCUGGAAAGUCCGACGGUACAGGGUGAUAGUCCCGUACACCAAAAUGCACAGGCUGUGAACUCGAAGAGUAGGGCGGGACACGUGGUAUCCUGUCUGAAUAUGGGGGGACCAUCCUCCAAGGCUAAAUACUCCUGACUGACCGAUAGUGAACCAGUACCGUGAGGGAAAGGCGAAAAGAACCCCGGCGAGGGGAGUGAAAAAGAACCUGAAACCGUGUACGUACAAGCAGUGGGAGCACCUUCGGGUGUGACUGCGUACCUUUUGUAUAAUGGGUCAGCGACUUAUAUUCUGUAGCAAGGUUAACCGUAUAGGGGAGCCGCAGGGAAACCGAGUCUUAACUGGGCGUUAAGUUGCAGGGUAUAGACCCGAAACCCGGUGAUCUAGCCAUGGGCAGGUUGAAGGUUGGGUAACACUAACUGGAGGACCGAACCGACUAAUGUUGAAAAAUUAGCGGAUGACUUGUGGCUGGGGGUGAAAGGCCAAUCAAACCGGGAGAUAGCUGGUUCUCCCCGAAAGCUAUUUAGGUAGCGCCUCGUGAACUCAUCUUCGGGGGUAGAGCACUGUUUCGGCUAGGGGGUCAUCCCGACUUACCAACCCGAUGCAAACUACGAAUACCGAAGAAUGUUAUCACGGGAGACACACGGCGGGUGCUAACGUCCGUCGUGAAGAGGGAAACAACCCAGACCGCCAGCUAAGGUCCCAAAGUCAUGGUUAAGUGGGAAACGAUGUGGGAAGGCACAGACAGCCAGGAUGUUGGCUUAGAAGCAGCCAUCAUUUAAAGAAAGCGUAAUAGCUCACUGGUCGAGUCGGCCUGCGCGGAAGAUGUAACGGGGCUAAACCAUGCACCGAAGCUGCGGCAGCGACACUAUGUGUUGUUGGGUAGGGGAGCGUUCUGUAAGCCUGCGAAGGUGUGCUGUGAGGCAUGCUGGAGGUAUCAGAAGUGCGAAUGCUGACAUAAGUAACGAUAAAGCGGGUGAAAAGCCCGCUCGCCGGAAGACCAAGGGUUCCUGUCCAACGUUAAUCGGGGCAGGGUGAGUCGACCCCUAAGGCGAGGCCGAAAGGCGUAGUCGAUGGGAAACAGGUUAAUAUUCCUGUACUUGGUGUUACUGCGAAGGGGGGACGGAGAAGGCUAUGUUAGCCGGGCGACGGUUGUCCCGGUUUAAGCAUGUAGGCUGGUUGUCCAGGCAAAUCCGGAUAAUCAAGGCUGAGGUGUGAUGACGAGGCACUACGGUGCUGAAGUAACAAAUGCCCUGCUUCCAGGAAAAGCCUCUAAGCAUCAGGUAACAUUAAAUCGUACCCCAAACCGACACAGGUGGUCAGGUAGAGAAUACCAAGGCGCUUGAGAGAACUCGGGUGAAGGAACUAGGCAAAAUGGUGCCGUAACUUCGGGAGAAGGCACGCUGGUGUGUAGGUGAAGUCCCUGCGGAUGGAGCUGAGACCAGUCGAAGAUACCAGCUGGCUGCAACUGUUUAUUAAAAACACAGCACUGUGCAAACACGAAAGUGGACGUAUACGGUGUGACGCCUGCCCGGUGCCGGAAGGUUAAUUGAUGGGGUUAUCCGUAAGGAGAAGCUCUUGAUCGAAGCCCCGGUAAACGGCGGCCGUAACUAUAACGGUCCUAAGGUAGCGAAAUUCCUUGUCGGGUAAGUUCCGACCUGCACGAAUGGCGUAAUGAUGGCCAGGCUGUCUCCACCCGAGACUCAGUGAAAUUGAACUCGCUGUGAAGAUGCAGUGUACCCGCGGCAAGACGGAAAGACCCCGUGAACCUUUACUAUAGCUUGACACUGAACAUUGAGCCUUGAUGUGUAGGAUAGGUGGGAGGCUUUGAAGCGUGGACGCCAGUCUGCGUGGAGCCAACCUUGAAAUACCACCCUUUAAUGUUUGAUGUUCUAACGUUGGCCCCUGACCGGGGUUGCGGACAGUGUCUGGUGGGUAGUUUGACUGGGGCGGUCUCCUCCCAAAGCGUAACGGAGGAGCACGAAGGUUAGCUAAUCCUGGUCGGACAUCAGGAGGUUAGUGCAAUGGCAUAAGCUAGCUUGACUGCGAGCGUGACGGCGCGAGCAGGUGCGAAAGCAGGUCAUAGUGAUCCGGUGGUUCUGAAUGGAAGGGCCAUCGCUCAACGGAUAAAAGGUACUCCGGGGAUAACAGGCUGAUACCGCCCAAGAGUUCAUAUCGACGGCGGUGUUUGGCACCUCGAUGUCGGCUCAUCACAUCCUGGGGCUGAAGUAGGUCCCAAGGGUAUGGCUGUUCGCCAUUUAAAGUGGUACGCGAGCUGGGUUUAGAACGUCGUGAGACAGUUCGGUCCCUAUCUGCCGUGGGCGCUGGAGAAUUGAGGGGGGCUGCUCCUAGUACGAGAGGACCGGAGUGGACGCAUCACUGGUGUUCGGGUUGUCAUGCCAAUGGCACUGCCCGGUAGCUAAAUGCGGAAGAGAUAAGUGCUGAAAGCAUCUAAGCACGAAACUUGCCCCGAGAUGAGUUCUCCCUGAGACUUUAAGUCUCCUGAAGGAACGUUAAAGACGAUGACGUUGAUAGGCCGGGUGUGUAAGCGCAGCGAUGCGUUGAGCUAACCGGUACUAAUGAACCGUGAGGCUUAACCUUACAACGCCGAAG
rnacentral:rRNA from 2 species